UUGCAGGGUCAUUUCAAAUUUGGACCUUGAGCCAGAUAGUGCUGACAUGAGUGUCCCAUCAGGAGUCAAUGACACUGCAAUUGCUGAAUGCACUGCCAGGGAAUCAGACCAAGAUUUUGGUGAUGACUGGGAAAGGUACGAACAUCAACAAUUCAUUCCCAUGUUUCACUGUUGCUGGCC